rnacentral:rRNA from 1 species
GUGGGGAAUAUUGGACAAUGGGCGCAAGCCUGAUCCAGCCAUGCCGCGUGAGUGAUGAAGGCCCUAGGGUUGUAAAGCUCUUUCACCGGUGAAGAUAAUGACGGUAACCGGAGAAGAAGCCCCGGCUAACUUCGUGCCAGCAGCCGCGGUAAUACGAAGGGGGCUAGCGUUUUUCGGAAUUACUGGGCGUAAAGCGCACGUAGGCGGAUAUUUAAGUCAGGGGUGAAAUCCCGGGGCUCAACCCCGGAACUGCCUUUGAUACUGGGUAUCUAGAGUCCAGAAGAGGUGAGUGGAAUUCCGAGUGUAGAGGUGAAAUUCGUAGAUAUUCGGAGGAACACCAGUGGCGAAGGCGGCUCACUGGUCUGGUACUGACGCUGAGGUGCGAAAGCGUGGGGAGCAAACAGGAUUAGAAACCCCUGUAGUCC